AAGGUGUGAUGAUGCUAAGACAGGUUUCGCAUGCUGGGCUGAGAUAAUGUGAUGUAGUGUCCUCUUGGCUGUCUGACCAG
ensembl:snoRNA small nucleolar RNA SNORD53/SNORD92